GUACGAGCACAAGCACGAGCAGCAGCAGCGGCCACAGAAGCGGCGGGAACAUCUUCACGCGCGCACCAACACACUAAAGAGGCACACGGAGUAACAAGACGUGCGUGACUUCCGGUUAAUAGGAGGCGGAUCUUAAAACUUCACCCCCUCGACCGGAAAUGGACCCCCACUAAUAAUAAUUCCCGGAAUUCCAAGAGUCAAUUUGCAAAAAAAAAAAUUAAGCGUGACGUCAUGAAGUAUAAUGGAAAAAUACCUUCUUUUUUUAUUUUUUGAUCAAUACAUGAAAGCUACUUUAGUGGGCGGAGUCACAGCCUAUCAAUCUUGUUGACUUUGCUUUAGUCGAAAAGGUCUGGGUCCUGUGGUUGCUGACACCUCUUCCAGUUCCACUAACAGGAGACAGAACACCUCAGCAAACUGUCUUUGACCUUGUGCCGCGAUGUAUUUGAGGAAGCAGCACCAAACAGGCGGACACGCAUGUGAUAGACGGAUGGAGUAGAUUGGAAAUCUUGGUUGUCCCAAUACAGGAAGCGCAAAUAGUCUUGGUUUGUCUCUGAACUGAUGAAACAUGCGUUCUGUAUCGCACAUCCCUGCCACUGGACCCUUUUUUUUUUUGUUAAGUACAUAACUCCACAUGUGUUCAUGCAUAGUUUUGAUGCAUUCAGUGACAAUCUACAAUGUAAAUAGUCAUGAAAAUAAAGAAAGCACACUGAAUGAGAAGGUGUCUCCAAACUUUUGACCUGUACUGUUUAUAUAUGUAUUUUUUUAAAUUUAUUCAUUGUUUUUUCCCAGCAAAAAGUAGCAUUAGUUCAAUAUCUAAGUUAAUAUAGUGAUUAUAAAGUCAGGAAGCCAUGCAGACUCGCCACAACAAAACAUAUGAAAAAUAUUUAAAAAAAAAAAAGUAAAAGCACACGCAUAUUGCAGUCUGGAUCAAGUGAUGGGGGAGUGGGGAAGGAUCAAGAUCAGUUCCAGGCUACUUAAAGAAUGUGUGGACCAGUUAACUGGUGUGGUCCAUUAUAUUUUUAAACUGAGCCUCAGCCUGGAAAAAGUCCCCACACUCUGGAAGAACUCCUGUGUGGUAGCAAUCCCUAAAACACCUCAUCCCAAGGUGCCGGACCACUUCAGACUUGUUGAUCUGACCUUCUACCUCAUGAAGACCAUAGAGAGAAUCAUCCUCAGCCACCUUCGUGCACAGACAGUCUCAGCAACGGACCACUUGCAGUUUAUCUACCUGCUGCAUCGGGCUCUCACCCACCUAAAGACCAUGGGAAGUGCAGCGAGAGUCAUGUUGACUCCUCCAGUGCUUUCACUGUCAUCCAGCCAGCAAUGCUGCGGGUGAAACUGGAAGAGGCAGGAGUGGACUAUCACCUGGCUGCAUGGAUCAUUAACUACCUCAUCGACAGGCUGCCACACAUGAGGCUGAGUGACUGUUCUAAUAUGCUUAGGCCCUAAGCAUAUAAGGAAGCCGGAGAUUGGUUGUCGAAGAACGUCUCAUACUCCAGCAUCAGUCAGGUUGUUUCCUGAUCCAGAAAAUGAUUAGAAAGUAAAGGUGUCACCUGAGGCACAUUGUUGUGCUGUGAUUUAAAAAAAAAAAAAAAAAAAAGUGUGACUUUUCAGACAAACAAGUGCUGCUUCCAGCUCCCCGGUGUUUUUUUUUUGUUUGUUUGUUUGUUGGGACCUAUCUGAGAAUGUAGCACCAGAAAAAAGUAAGAGCGCUGAAGGGA